CUCCCUUUUGCCUCUUCUGGAUUUCAGGUAACAAAGCACCACAUUAGACACUGAAGAUAGAAAUUUGCUUAAGAUAUGGUCUCAGCAUUCAACAGGCUGGUGUUCUGGUUGAGAAGCAAUACAUGGAUCUUUCUUUCUCCUAGCCCUGGAGACUGGUUCAAGCGAUUCUCCUGCCUCAGCCUCCCAAGUAGCUGGGACUACAGUAUCCUACAUAAAACUGCAUUAAAAACCAGUAACAUCAGACCCUGGAUGGGGACGGAAGGUCCAAAUCAGAACCUCCAUGGAAUGCAUCUCUACAUAUUUUCACAUUUGUUUUCAAGCAAGGAGCAAGACCAGCAAGAAAGUGAGGACUUCCUCUGAUGCACAAACCUGGGAUGUGCUGUGAAAAUCAGCUACCUGGGCUUCCCACCUGUGGAUGCUCACUGACCUGGGGCCACACCAGCUGAUUUCAGGACUUCCUCAGAGAAAACACCCAGGCAAGACACCAGCAACAGAGCUACCCUGAUGAUUAUUAAAUUAGCUCUACGUGGAGAUGCCAUA
rnacentral:antisense_RNA from 1 species